UACAGAGGUCCCAAGCGUUGUUCGGAUUUACUGGGCGUAAAGGGUGCGUAGGCGGUUGGGUAAGUCUGACGUGAAAUCUCCGGGCCUAACCCGGAAACUGCGUUGGAUACUACCUGACUAGAGGAAUGGAGGGGAGACUGGAAUACUUGGUGUAGCAGUGAAAUGCGUAGAUAUCAAGUGGAACACCAGUGGCGAAGGCGACUCUUUGGCCUGUAACUGACGCUGAGGCGCGAAAGCGUGGGGAGCAAACAGG
rnacentral:rRNA from 1 species